CCUACGGGUGGCUGCAGUGGGGAAUAUUGCGCAAUGGGCGAAAGCCUGACGCAGCGACGCCGCGUGAGGGAUGAAGGUCUUCGGAUCGUAAACCUCUGUCAGCAGGGAAGAACGGUCACUGUGCUAAUCAGCAGUGAAUGGACGGUACCGGCAAAGGAAGCACCGGCUAACUCCGUGCCAGCAGCCGCGGUAAUACGGAGGGGGCGAGCGUUAAGCGGAAUUACUGGGCGUAAAGCGCUCGUAGGCGGUAUGUCAAGUCAAGGGUGAAAUCCCCGCGCUCAACGUGGGAACUGCCUUUGAAACUGGCAACCUGGCGUGUGUGAGCGGCUAGUGGAAUUCCAGGUGUAGUCGU
rnacentral:rRNA from 1 species